UGGGAUCAGGUGCUGAAAUAAGA
rnacentral:miRNA from 1 species